ACACACACAGCUGCUCAGAGUCAUGACAGAAGAUGACGGAUACAGUUGUCGCAGAGGGCCAAGUCAAGUUUAGAGAUGGAAAAAAGUGGAAGACCCGCUGGGUUGUUCUUCAGAAGCCUUCUCCCGUCGCCGACUGCUUGACUUUGUUGGUGUGGAAAGAGAAGAAGAAAGGGAGACGAGACGGACACAAAGACAGGC